rnacentral:lncRNA from 1 species
GCUAGCCAAGGUGACAAUGACAAUCUCUGGUUCUUGCGGUGAUUUGAGCGUGUGAUUCAGAUCAUGCUGUGGGGCCUCUUCGGAUCCAAACCCAGGGCAGGCCCAGCAGCCAGACGGAAAAGGCCCUGUAGCAAUCCAUAACGUAUGCAGCAGAGAACAACCUGAAGCGUGUGCUACCAUGGAGGGCAGCCUCAUGAAGUUGAGCCAUUGUAACUUUCUCCGUCUCCUUCUCCAUCCUGCACUCCUCACCUUCCCAGAGAACCAGUGACCUGCACAUUUGGGUUCUCCGAUUUGGAGUAGAAACGGCCAUUUUGGAAAGUAAGAGAGCACCGUGAGUCUGCGCCAUGACAGCGGAGAAGAGGAAGCAGAGGCACUGGAGAUCGAGGGACACCAGAGCCACCACCCAAUCUCUUCAGAAAACCCUGCCAGUUCCGAGGCCUGCGUCUCCUCUCCUUCCUGUGGAGGACAACAGUCCUGCCAGCCUCACCUCAGAUUUGGGAAGCUUCUGGAAGCUGAAAUACCGCAAUACGCAUGUGCACCCCGUGGUGGGAAGUGCUGAAUCCAAAGCAUGAGAGAAUAUGGAGGCCGGUUGGGUUCCGCUGGGAGCCCCUAGCCUUGGUGAGGAGGAUUAGAUCUGGGCGGGGCGGAAGGGGGCGCUCUUCCCACUUAAUCUGUUCCCAAAGAAUCCACAGGCACUGGGAGUUCUCUCUUGUUCUCCACAGUCCUCUUCAACACAGUAGUUCUGCGACUCUGCUGUUGUUUGUCUCCUUUUUGGGU